rnacentral:tRNA from 1 species
UAGAGCGUAGUCAAGCGGUUACGACACCAGAUUUUGAUUCUGGUAUUCCUUGGUUCGAAUCCAAGCGCUCUAG